CAGCCUGGGCGACAGAGCGAGACUCCAUCUCAAAUAAAGAAAAAAAAAAAAAAAAGACUUGGCUGCUCACCUGUAUUGUGGGAAUCCCAGCCUAAAUUGGACAUGUGGACGUUGAGCAAUAGAAGACAGACAAACAAAGGAAUCUCCAAACCUUGCAGGACCCAAGGCAGCAGCCCACGAGUGGAUCCUAAAGGAUUUUCAUCAGCCGCAAGUCUGGGUAAGUGGGCUUUUUUUAGGGGGGGGGAGAAGCAGCCUGGGAUGCUUCUUGCAGGAAGAGGAGUUUCAGAGGAGACAAGAGAGGUUAGGAGCCACUGAGUGGGUGAGGAGGGCCCAGCCCAAGAGGCUGGGGACAACCACGAGAGGCGGGCCAAUGGGAGAGGAGGGCACUGUUCCUCAGUGGACUAGGUAGAAGGAGGGGUUGUAGAGAGGUGGGUGCAAGGAAGGAAGGAGGAGGAUGGGGAGCUCCCCGUGGCUGUCCCACCUGAAGAAUCUGAGCAGCUGUUCCCCGCUCCCCCUUGCUCUGUGUAACAUCAAGCAAAUGCACGUUGUGGGAUCAGCUUUUCCUCUGAAGACCUCAGGGCCAGUUCUCAGGCCUCCCCCUCCCUGUGGACUUUAAUCCAGUCCAGCACAGAUGGGUUAGGUCACAAUGGUGGUGGGGGUAGUAGCAUUGGGUCUCCCUGGCUUGAAUUUUUUCUUAUUUCCCCAUGUCCUCUCCUUCUUAGGCAAUAAUUUAUCCUUCUGCAUGGUCUUACAUACCCCACACGUCUAUAGCUCAGAAAACUAAGAAGCACUCCAUCAUUCUUAAGUUGGGCCUUGCCACCUGCAGGCCCCUCCCCUCCCACACUUACCUUCACACGACUAGGGCAAGUGGUUAGUUUCCCCAUGGCCCCUCCAGUCCCUCUCCGCUACACGACACCCUUCUUAUCUUUCUGACUACAAUUAGAGCCUCCUCUCCCUGUAGGGAAGUGAGAGGGACAAAGUCAAGGAUCCUCACAACUCAAUAACAGCUGUAGAGAGCCUCACCUAUCCUGUGCACUCACAGUGACUCCAUGCAGGGGACCAGCAAUGAGGGGAAAGGGAGUGGGAAUUAGUGUGGGGACAGGGGAGAAUCCUGCAACGGGAUUCCCUGCCUGGUCUAGUCUGGUCUGGGAGCAGGGCAGAUGCUCAACAAGACAUCCCAGGUCUUGGGGGAGCCACUGGCAGUGGUGAGGCACCAGUUCUCUCAGGGCAUGUGAAAGUUCAUGUUUUCUCUCCCUCUCACUCUCCAUGACUGUGGAUCCUGAGAAGGACACACCUGACACAGGUACUGCCCUCAUCUUUCCCUGUAACUCCACCUCCACCCCCCAUACCCACUUUAUCCCUCUGCAGGGUUACUAGAGCCUGACCCAAAUUCUCUAUUCCAGAGACAGACAGACCUGUUCCCCAACUCCCAGUGGUGCUACGCAUUGAGAUGCUGAGGUGGGACCCAAAGAUCUGCUCCCGUCUUCUCUCCUGAGGGGCUUGCAGAAGCCCCUUUCUCAGAGUCACCCCUCCCAGGCUGAGCUGAAGAAGCUGAGAAGGGAAGGGCCAUAAUGAUAAGGCUGGGGCAGGGGACAGCGGCACCCUCCGUGCCCUCUCCCCAUUAGUGCAGACCUCAAGUUUGGAAGUGGUCAACAUAACAGGGAAGCUGGUCAGAAAAGUGACUUUUUGGCUACAGAAAGUUAUUUAUGUUCCUCUUUGCCACCCUGCCCUUGUGCCUUCAGCUGUCCCUUCUCCCAGUGCCAGAGGAGACUUGGAUUGAGCACCCAUGCUCUACGGACAACAGCGAGUUGAGCAGACCUUAACAUCAUUCCCGGGGAGGCAAUGGGUCAUCUGCUGGCUGGGGUUAUCAAAGGCCCCGUCUCCCACUCCUCUCCCAUGCCCCAAAGUGAAGAGCCCCAGAAUGAAGCCCCAGAAUGAAGCCCCAGUUAUGAAGCCGGCUGCCAUGUGGGCGACCUGGAGUUGGAGCACAGGGCAGUCACAUAUGACAAUUGGUUGAAAUAUCACAGCCACACUCCCCCUACCCCCACUGGUGAUCUAUGGGCUGCGUGCCCUGUAAAAAUUAUUUAUCGGGGCCUCAGAGUGUCCUGAUUUAGUGCCGCUGCCUCUGGGGCCUUGGGGCCUGCCUGUCCGCCAGUCUAAGCGUUAAACGACGCUAAAAAGUUAAACAGCCAACGUUGGGGGCUCACUCGAGGAGGCGCCAUAAAGCUGUCGGAGCUGCUUAAAUCAGGAGCGAGGAUUCCCUGGGACAUCUUCUCUCCAUAUGCCGCAAGCCAAGAAGGCUCUCCUUACCCCUCUGCCACUCACCCAUACCCAGGAGCCCGCAGAGGGCAGAGGACACGUGGGCCGGGGGCCUGGGACAGAGCCCAAAAGGAGGCCACGGAUGACCUCCUCUGCAGGGCUUUCUCCAGCAGAACAGGGGCCACGGCUCAAGAGUGUAGGGGUCACGUUGUCCAGCUUACCAGCUCUGGGCAGGGGUCUCCUUGUUCAGAUCCAGUUUUUAAAGACUUCCAGCAAAAGGCAAUGCCAAAGUCUCUCCCAGGGGCCCCUGAGGAGAAGCUGGUUCCCAAGUCUGUCUCACUUCAAUCCAUGCUUCUGGGUUUUGAAUCCACUGGAACUCAGUGUCUUCCCACCCAGGUUUGGAGAGGGUGUUCUGUCCACACCAGCCUGUGACUUCUGGCCUCCUUUCACCCCUCCACACCCACUUGCAUGGCUCUCUGAGGAACAGAGCCCCACCCUUCAUCACCACCCUCCGCCAACGCACCCCUGGGUGCUGGCAUAACACACAAGCUUCACAGAUGGCUUUUCUCAGCUGAAGCCCAGUCCCUGCUGCCACCACCCGGCCGCCGAGCAAGAGGGAAGGUGGGUCUCCGCAUGCUGCCUAUCACACCUGCUUUCAGCAGCAAUAAAACUCACUCUUAAAACC